GUGACUUCCGGUUUAUUUCCGGGUUAUAACGAAGUAUAAUAACAGCGAUUAAUACGGACUAAUUAUCAUUCUAUAUAUGAUUCAAAUAUGCGGAUGUUAUCUUCUGAGAUCAUUACUAUCAAUGAAGAACAUCACUACAAUUGGUUGGGCUGCUAGAUUGGUAGCAACGUGAUGGACAGCUAGUGCCUGUUGAAACACUAUUGUUGGUUGGGCAUCUAUUGCUUACUGGACACUAUAUUGGAUGGGCCAUACGUGUUGGUUGAACAAUUAUAAAUGGUUGGACCGGAAGUGUUGGUUGGACCAUCAGUGUUGUUUGGACUGCUUGUUGGACAGAAUGUGUGAUGGACAACUAGUGUUAUUGAAUCACUGUUGGAUAUACAGCUAUUGUUUAUCGGAUAGCUAUACUCAGUUGAUUUACAUGUUUUGGUUGAACAACUUUUAAUGGAUGGACAAGAAGUGUUGGUUUGACCACAAGUGUUGAUUGGACUGUAUUUAAUGGAUGGAUAUCUAGUUGAGCCUGAUUUGAACGCAAUGAAGUGAUGAUUGAACGGCUACUGUAGGUUGUCAGGUCAUAUUGGUUGGAUUCCCAUUGCUAGUACUUGUUGGAUCUCUUUUGUUGGUUGAACUGUUGUUUUUUGACUGUUAUUAUUGAUAUUCAUACAUGUAUAAUAUGUUAAGUGCUUAGUAUUUAACACUUAUAACUAUUAUUAUUAUCAUAAGAGAUAUUAUUAUUCAAUAAUCAUAUAAAUUAAAUAUUUUUUUUAUGUCCUUGUACUUACAUUUAAAAUGUGCAUCAUAUUGUUUUAUUAUAUGAACAACUCUUUUUAUAGAUAUUUAAAUAAAUAUUAAUUCUGUACAACCA